UCGGGAUAGCUCAGCUGUAGAGCAAAGACUGAAAUCUUCGUGUCACAGUCAAU
rnacentral:tRNA from 1 species